GUAAUGGUGUCUUUAGACACCACCUAUCUUUUUUGAAGUUAUUCCU
rfam:Picea glauca, whole genome shotgun sequence.